GAUGAACGCGGCGGCGUGCCUAAUACAUGCAAGUAGAACGCUGAAGCUUGGUGCUUGCACCGAGCGGAUGAGUUGCGAACGGGUGAGUAACGCGUAGGUAACCUGCCUCUUAGCGGGGGAUAACUAUUGGAAACGAUAGCUAAUACCGCAUAAAAGUCGAUAUCGCAUGAUAUUGAUUUGAAAGGUGCAAUUGCAUCACUAAGAGAUGGACCUGCGCUGUAUUAGCUAGUUGGUGAGGUAACGGCUCACCAAGGCGACGAUACAUAGCCGACCUGAGAGGGUGAUCGGCCACACUGGGACUGAGACACGGCCCAGACUCCUACGGGAGGCAGCAGUAGGGAAUCUUCGGCAAUGGGGGCAACCCUGACCGAGCAACGCCGCGUGAGUGAAGAAGGUUUUCGGAUCGUAAAGCUCUGUUGUAAGAGAAGAACGAGUGUGAGAGUGGAAAGUUCACACUGUGACGGAACUACCAGAAAG
rnacentral:rRNA from 1 species